GCUGCAAUAGUUUAGUGGUAGAAUGGAGCGUUGCCAUCGCUUCGACCCGGGUUCAAUUCCCGGUUGCAGCA